rnacentral:rRNA from 1 species
GACGUAGGGCGCGAGCGUUGUCCGGAAUCAUUGGGCGUAAAGAGCGUGUAGGCGGCUCGAUAAGUCUGCUGUGAAAGUCCAGGGCUCAACCCUGGAAGGCCGGUGGAAACUGUCGGGCUAGAGUCCGGAAGAGGCGAGUGGAAUUCCCGGUGUAGCGGUGAAAUGCGCAGAUAUCGGGAGGAACACCAAUGGCGAAGGCAGCUCGCUGGGACGGUACUGACGCUGAGACGCGAAAGCGUGGGGAGCAAACAGGG